AUUGAACGCUGGCGGCAGGCCUAACACAUGCAAGUCGAGCGGCAGCGGGAAAGUAGCUUGCUACUUUUGCCGGCGAGCGGCGGACGGGUGAGUAAUGCCUGGGGAUCUGCCCAGUCGAGGGGGAUAACUACUGGAAACGGUAGCUAAUACCGCAUACGCCCUACGGGGGAAAGCAGGGGACCUUCGGGCCUUGCGCGAUUGGAUGAACCCAGGUGGGAUUAGCUAGUUGGUGAGGUAAUGGCUCACCAAGGUGACGCUCCCUAGAUGGUCUGAGAGGAUGAGCAGCCACGCUGGAAGUGAGACACGGUCCAGGCUGCUCCGGGAGGCAGCAGUGGGGAAUAUUGCACAAUGGGGGAAACCCUGAUGCAGCCAUGCCGCGUGUGUGAAGAAGGCCUUCGGGUUGUAAAGCACUGUCAGCGAGGAGGAAAGGUCAGUAGCUAAUAUCUGCUGGCUGUGACGUUACUCGCAGAAGAAGCACUGGCUAACUCCGUGCCAGCCGCCGCAGUAACAC
rnacentral:rRNA from 1 species